rnacentral:rRNA from 1 species
UACGUAGGGUGCGAGCGUUGUCCGGAAUUAUUGGGCGUAAAGAGCUCGUAGGCGGUUUGUUGCGUCGGCCGUGAAAACCUGCAGCUUAACUGUGGGCCUGCGGUCGAUACGGGCAGACUUGAGUUCGGUAGGGGAGACUGGAAUUCCUGGUGUAGCGGUGAAAUGCGCAGAUAUCAGGAGGAACACCGGUGGCGAAGGCGGGUCUCUGGGCCGUAACUGACGCUGAGGAGCGAAAGCGUGGGGAGCGAACAGG